rnacentral:rRNA from 1 species
CCUGGUCUUGACAUCCACAGAACUUUCCAGAGAUGGAUUGGUGCCUUCGGGAACUGUGAGACAGGUGCUGCAUGGCUGUCGUCAGCUCGUGUUGUGAAAUGUUGGGUUAAGUCCCGCAACGAGCGCAACCCUUAUCCUUUGUUGCCAGCGGUCCGGCCGGGAACUCAAAGGAGACUGCCAGUGAUAAACUGGAGGAAGGUGGGGAUGACGUCAAGUCAUCAUGGCCCUUACGACCAGGGCUACACACGUGCUACAAUGGCGCAUACAAAGAGAAGCGACCUCGCGAGAGCAAGCGGACCUCAUAAAGUGCGUCGUAGUCCGGAUUGGAGUCUGCAACUCGACUCCAUGAAGUCGGAAUCGCUAGUAAUCGUGGAUCAGAAUGCCACGGUGAAUACGUUCCCGGGCCUUGUACACACCGCCCGUCACACCAUGGGAGUGGGUUGCAAAAGAAGUAGGUAGCUUAACCUUCGGGAGGGCGCUUACCACUUUGUGAUUCAUGACUGGGGUGAAGUCGUAACAAGGUAACCGUAGGGGAACCUGCGGUUGGAUCAC